rnacentral:rRNA from 1 species
AUUGAACGCUGGCGGCAGGCUUACCACAUGAAAGUCGAGCGAGCGGCGGAGGGGUGAGUAUUGUCUAGGAAACUGCCCUCAGGAGGGGGAUAACUCUUGGAAACGGUGUCUCAUACCGAAUACCAUACGGUGUGCCCAGAUGGGAUUAGCGAGUAGGUGGGGUGACGGCUCACCGAGGCGGCGCUCCCUAGCUGGUCUGCGAGGAUGACCAGCCACACGGGAACUGUGACACGGACCAGACUCCUACGGGAGGCAGCAGUGGGGAAGUGUGGACAAUGGGCGAAAGCCUGAUGCAGCCAUGCCGCGUGGGUGAAGAAGGCCUUCGGGUUGUAAAGUACUUUAAGCGGGGAGGCGGUACCUGCAGAAGAAGCACCGGCUAACUACGUGCCAGCAGCCGCGGUAAUAC